UACGGAGGGGGCUAGCGUUGUUCGGAAUUACUGGGCGUAAAGCGCGUGUAGGCGGACCUGCAAGUCGGGGGUGAAAGCCCGAGGCUCAACCUCGGAACUGCAUUCGAUACUGCGGGUCUCGAGUGCGGGAGAGGUGAGUGGAAUUCCUAGUGUAGAGGUGAAAUUCGUAGAUAUUAGGAAGAACACCAGUGGCGAAGGCGGCUUUCUGGACGAUAACUGACGCUGAGGCGCGAAAGCGUGGGGAGCAAACAGG
rnacentral:rRNA from 1 species